UCUGCCCCUAGAAGCCGUGCAAGUGUGACUGCUAUGUCACAGGUUGGCCACUAGGUGGCAGAGAGGAGAGAGGCCAAGUCUAUGCUCUCUUUAGUAGCCUACAUU
ensembl:snoRNA LOC120101328 small nucleolar RNA SNORA17